GAUGAACGCUAGCGGGAGGCCUAACACAUGCAAGCCGAGCGGUAUUGUUUCUUCGGAAAUGAGAGAGCGGCGUACGGGUGCGUAACACGUGUGCAACCUGCCUUUAUCUGGGGGAUAGCCUUUCGAAAGGAAGAUUAAUACUCCAUAAUAUAUUGAACGGCGUCGUUUAAUAUUGAAAGCUCCGGCGGAUGGAGAUGGGCACGCGCAAGAUUAGCUAGUUGGUGAGGUAACGGCUCACCAAGGCGAUGAUCUUUAGGGGGCCUGAGAGGGUGAUCCCCCACACUGGUACUGAGACACGGACCAGACUCCUACGGGAGGCAGCAGUGAGGAAUAUUGGUCAAUGGGUGCAAGCCUGAACCAGCCAUCCCGCGUGAAGGACGACCGCCCUAUGGGUUGCAAACUUCUUUUGUAUAGGGAUAAACCUACCCUCGUGAGGGUAGCUGAAGGUACUAUACGAAUAAGCACCGGCUAACUCCGUGCCAGCCGCCGCCGUAACAC
rnacentral:rRNA from 1 species